GUGUCAGCCGCCGCGGUAAUACGUAGGGAGCAAGCGUUGUCCGGAAUCAUUGGGCGUAAAGCGCGCGUAGGUGGCCCCAUAAGUCCGCUGUGAAAGUCAAAGGCUCAACCUUUGAAAGCCGGUGGAUACUGUGGGACUAGAGUACGGAAGAGGCGAGUGGAAUUCCUGGUGUAGCGGUGGAAUGCGCAGAUAUCAGGAGGAACACCAAUAGCGAAGGCAGCUCGCUGGGACGUUACUGACACUGAGGCGCGAAAGCGUGGGGAGCGAACAGGAUUAGAUACCCGCGUAGUCC
rnacentral:rRNA from 1 species